rnacentral:rRNA from 1 species
CCUACGGGUGGCUGCAGUGGGGAAUAUUGCACAAUGGGGGAAACCCUGAUGCAGCGACGCCGCGUGAGCGAGGAAGUAUUUCGGUAUGUAAAGCUCUGUCAGCAGGAACGAUAAUGACGGUACCUGAAGAAGAAGCCCCGGCUAACUACGUGCCAGCAGCCGCGGUAAUACGUAGGGGGCAAGCGUUAUCCGGAUUUACUGGGUGUAAAGGGAGCGUAGACGGCGGGGCAAGUCUGGAGUGAAAGGCCGGGGCCCAACCCCGGGACCGCUCGGGAAACUGCCGGGCUGGAGUGCGGGAGAGGUAAGCGGAAUUUCUAGUGUAGCGGUGAAAUGCGUAGAUAUUAGGAGGAACACCAGCGGCGAAGGCGGCUUACUGGACCGUGACUGACGUUGAGGCUCGAAAGCGUGGGGAGCAAACAGGAUUAGAUACCCUAGUAGUC